UCAUUUUGGUGUGAAAUUUGGUGAAAAAAAUGGUGCUAGCAUUGGAGAUGCCCUUAAUAGUCUAAAUGGUCAUCUAGGCGUAUUACCUCCUUUUUCCAGUUCUCUCCUUCCUCUCUCUUUCACUACUUGGUAGGAGUAAUUUUUAAAAAAAUUCUAUAUUUCUUUGAUGGUGAGUAUUUCUGCAGUUUUCUUCGUUCAUUGCACUUUUUUGGAUAUAUGUUAGUUUCAGCUCUCAGUUCUGGUGAAAGCAUAUAUGACAGAGGGAUCAGCUGAAAUAACCAACGCCCUAAGUGAGAAUUCAGGUAUACCUAAUUUGUGAUUGAAGGUUUCCAGCCUUCACAGGAUUGCUGGCACCAUGGAAGGUUAGUCAACUUCGCUCCACAAAAUAGUAGUAUUUGUCUGAUCCAUCACAAUUGAUUUUUUUUAGGAUCAGCAAUAUGAGAUGAUUAUAUGAUAAGCUUGCACAGAGUCUUAGUCUCAAUUUUAUGCAGUGUAGUGUCUAUGUACGGUAUUAAGCCUGAAAUGAUCAGUAAUCUUUAGCAGCUUAAAAGUUGCAAUGAAGAGAACUUGGUUAAAAAUGUUCCUUUAAGUAACUAUGCAAACUGAUUUAUAGUUUAUCAAUUAGUUCAACUUCUACAAUCAAUGCAAGAAAAUUAGGCAGUCGAAUGAGAUGCUUAGAAGCAAAUUACAGUAGCUUUUCUAUAAAGGCCUUUAUUGCUUAUCUGCGAAUAUACUUAGGAUCACAAAUUUACAAUCAGUUCCACAAACGUGCCAUAAAAAUUUAUGUUACCUUCUAGAAAAAAAAGGAGGUAUGAGGAUUUUUCAUGACUUCAUAUUUCAAGUUAGUUCUUGACAUAGUCUAAUGAAAGAUGAUAACAUUGUAGCCUUCCAGUUGUUAGAGUGUACAAAAGAUUAAGGACGACCAAAAACCUCUCUCCCUCCCUCCCCCCCCCCCCCCCUCUAUCUAUCUCUCUCUCUCUCUCUGUGGAUAUUUACUUAGUUUCUCCCAUGUGAACUCUUUCCUACAUGCUAUCUGGUUUGGCAUUGUCAAAAAUUAUACACAAUAAACAAUUAAACAUCACAGUUAGUAUGGUAGGAUAGAUUAUCAAACAUUAUAGUGAAUAUAGCUUGUAAUAUUUAUGUACAUUAACCAAUAUUGUAGGAAUAAGUUUCAAAGGAGAUACUUAGAAUGAAUUUAUUCUGCAAAACUUUGCACUUGAACUUUUUCGAAAAAAAAGUGUAUAGGUGUUUUGUGCAUUUGUAAUUUUUUAAGUUCGUAUGACAUCAAAUGACAAUGGAUUAUACAAUUAUGAACUCGUGUUUUCUACUGCCCUUAUACUAAGUAUAGUGAAUUUAAUGCUAAAAACCUAUUCCCCUGAUUUCAAACACAUACUUUUCUGGAAAGCUAAAGAUCGAUAAUCCUGUUGACAAGAACGUCGCAGCAUUUUCCAUGAGUUGAUGGAGUAAUUGCUCUUCUGAUGGGAGAUACUUUUUUCAUUUCUACAGAAGGUUAGAAUGUUAAAUUUGUUGUUUGUCUAAACAAGAUUGAUAGUUUUUCGACUAACAAGCUCUCCGCGUAUAGGCAACUUGAGAGACUUUUUCUGUUAUAUUCUUUUACACUUGAAAGCUUUUCUAUUGAUUAUUUAUAGUUAGUAUAUAUUCUUUUCAGUUAGAGAAAUGAAAGUUUUUCUAUUGAUUAUUUAUAGUUAGUAUAUAUUCUUUUCAGUUAGAGGAAUAUUGUACUACUGGAGCUUUAACGUUUUAAGCAUUUCUUGGCAUUACUACAGAAGGAGGUAACGAAAUAUAAUGGUCUGCCUUAUCAAAGAAGAAACCUUGAAUGUUUCUGUUGGAGAUUUACAGAAGAUUUCUGUAGUAAGACAUGACCUAUCUGUGCAUGAAUAAUUUCCUUUUUGUAUGAUGUAUGUGCUUGACAUGAAUUGACAGUUGAAUUUGUUCAAGGCAUGAGCUAUGGUCUAAAAGUAACAAUUUGAGCAAAAAACAGCACCCUUAUAAGUGAUAAUUACAUGUAACCAGUUGCUUAUACUAUUCAAUAUUCGUGGCUGAGGACGUUAGAGUUCUAUGGAUGUAAAACUCCUUUAAGGUGAGAAAGUCUAUUGAAUAUUGUUCAAUUUA